AUGGAAAACUUGAAAGUGAGCAAAGCUGCUGGUUUCAAUGCACUUGCACGUAUUUAUUAUGUGGACAAUUUUUAGGUGGACUUUAUCUUUGUGGAUUGAAUUAGAGAAACUUGUCAUAAAAUGUGCUUUUCAUGCGAUUUUAUUGCUUACAGCAAAGACAUGACUUUUACGUAUAUUUAGCGUAGGAAAUUAUUGACCUACAAUGGAUUUGACAAUAUGAUUUAUGCAUCUUUAUGGUGGGAGGAAAAUGCAGCACCUACAGGAGUAAGAACGUCUUUGAUAAUAAUAUAAUGGAAGAUUUACAAGCUGGUUAGAGCCACAUUUAUCUAUUUAACAAAAUGGUUUUUAAGUGGAUAUGAAUGGAAGUGGUCAUUCUGUACUCUGGUCCAAAUUGUGUGGCUUGACUUUGCUUGCCAUCUGAAAAGAAUUUUUAUUGCUACCAGUCAAUCAACCUAUCGUCUACCGGUCGGUCAAUAAUAAUUCAAGACUGUCGUCUACUACUGAUUGAUCCCCCGCUCUCUCUCUCUCUCUCUCUCUCUCUCUCUCUCUUGCUCACUUUAUCUUUCGCAUUCGGCCUCUCUCUUGCAAACAAUUUGAGACUGUCGUCCACUGGUCAGUCCUCACUCGCUUUCUCUGUUCUUUUUCCCCCUUGAAAGUUCCUGCCCAGGCUUGCUUAGGGUCUUCUCUCACCGGUCUCGCGCCUCUCUUCGUAUCUUAGCUCGCGGAAGCAGGAGAGCAUCUUUCUCUCCAACUUUCCCUCUCAGAUUGCCAUCGACAAAGGGCGGAGUCACACUGAAACAAACGAAGGGAUGCACCCUUUAAUAAUGGGGCGUUCUCCCGGGGCUUGCCGCGACGAUUCUUUUUAGUAUGCUUGCAUUCUAUCUUGUCAAGAAGAAGAGAGCAUCCACACCUUCGAAAAUCUCUCCAACACUCGAAGGAAUACGUAAUGAUCAUUAUGAUGUGUUCUUGAGCUUUAGAGGGUCAGAUACCCGCAAGGGAUUCACCGAUCACCUCUAUCACAGUCUAGUCAAGGUAGGGAUUGCACCAGUUUUUGUGUUCAAGGAUGAUAAGAGCAUCCAAAUUGGCGAGGAAUUCGGUCCACAAAUUCUCGAAUGCCAUCGCUCGGUCUAAGAUUUCGAUUCUCAUCAUCUCCGAAAAUUAUGCUUCAAGCAAAUGGUGCCUCCGCGAGCUUAUUCA